rnacentral:rRNA from 1 species
UACGUAGGGUGCAAGCGUUGUCCGGAAUUAUUGGGCGUAAAGAGCUCGUAGGCGGCUUGUCGCGUCGAAUGUGAAAUCUCGGGGCUCAACUCCGAGCUUGCAUUCGAUACGGGCAGGCUGGAGUUCGGUAGGGGAGACUGGAAUUCCUGGUGUAGCGGUGAAAUGCGCAGAUAUCAGGAGGAACACCGGUGGCGAAGGCGGGUCUCUGGGCCGAUACUGACGCUGAGGAGCGAAAGCGUGGGGAGCGAACAGG